GUGCCAGCCGCCGCGGUAAUACGGAGGGUGCAAGCGUUAAUCGGAAUUACUGGGCGUAAAGCGCACGUAGGUGGUUUUCUAAGUCAGCUGUGAAAUCCCCGGGCUCAACCUGGGACUUGCAGUUGAAACUGGAAAGCUAGAGUAGGGUAGAGGGGUGUGGAAUUCCAGGUGUAGCGGUGAAAUGCGUAGAUAUCUGGAGGAACAUCAGUGGCGAAGGCGACACCCUGGACUCAUACUGACACUGAGGUGCGAAAGCGUGGGGAGCAAACAGGAUUAGAAACCCCCGUAGUCC
rnacentral:rRNA from 1 species